AAAGCAGGAUUUUCCAUUCCUGCCUGGUUGGUGCCCAUCGCUUUAGAGAGCUGCCAAACAUGACUGGAAGGUCCCAUUCCUGCUUGCAGCCUAUCUCACUUCAGAGAUGAUAGCAAAACACCAGAAGAAAAAGUGGUGGAAUGUCUGGAAAUAUGCAAGAAGUGGCACAGGGUUUGCUGCCACUCUUCACAGUUGGAUCUCAUUGCCAUGGGUCUGCCUUCACAGCUGGAAUCCAGAGUGCAGCCGGAACUCAAGCCUUGCUACAUCGCUGUGAACUGCAGGAGCUGGAAGCACUGUCUUAACUACCAGGAAUAAAAUUGUCGCACCUUCUAAACAGCAGAAUAAGCCAAACUCAACAAUCAAAGACUUAUUUUUCUGCGAAUGAUCCUAACUGGUCCCUUGAGGAAAGGAAUUGGGUGGAGGACACAAAUGAAUAAAUGAAGAACAAAAAGGCCAAUUCAUCCUACAGUAAGUAUUUCAUUCGUCUGCUCUCUUUUUUACGUAUAAAUAUGUGUG